rnacentral:rRNA from 1 species
UGGGGAAUCUUCCGCAAUGGGCGAAAGCCUGACGGAGCAACGCCGCGUGAGUGAAGAAGGUCUUCGGAUCGUAAAGCUCUGUUGUCGGGGACGAAGGGAUGCAUCAGGAAAUGGGUGCAUUUAGACGGUACCUGACGAGGAGGCCACGGCUAACUACGUGCCAGCAGCCGCGGUAAUACGUAGGCGGCAAGCGUUGUCCGGAAUCAUUGGGCGUAAAGGGAGCGCAGGUGGGGCGGUAAGUCUUUCUUAAAAGUGCGGGGCUCACCCCCGUGAGGGGAAAGAAACUAUCGUUCUUGAGUGCAGGAGAGGAAAGCGGAAUUUCUAGUGUAGCGGUGAAAUGCGUAGAUAUUAGGAAGAACACCGGUGGCGAAGGCGGCUUUCUGGACUGUAACUGACACUGAGGCUCGAAAGCGUGGGGAGCGAACAGGAUUAGAUACCCUGGUAGU